ACAGGGAUGCUGCUCGCGCGCGGUGUGUGCACAUCCGUACACACAUACACAGAGGAAAGGGCGCAUCAAUCGUCAUAAUCGACCAUUCCAAGUAGUUCUCACCGGAACGCACAGACACAUGCUUUUCUGAGCAAACAACUUUUUGAAUAAAAAGCCGCAUACAGACAGACAGACACACACACACACACACACACACACACGCUGAGCGUGUGCAGCACAGGCGCCUGCAAACGACAGACCGGCGAGCGCACGUGUGUGUGUGUGCUUGCACACUUAGCGCCUCCGCCCUCUCCCUCUCCCUUGUUUCUAGAGCCCUCUCUCUCUUUCUCAGUUCCCAUUCGUGUUGUGGCGCUUCUUUUUUUUUUUUGACAGACAGGAGAGGGGACGAGGAGCACACGCGCACGUCGAUUUCGUUGUUGCCACAUAGAUAUCCUUUACUUACCCACAUCAUCGCCUUUCGCGGUUCCUGCCUCCUCCGCUCAGCCGUACCUGGGCACUCGUGCACUUGUGUACGUUUUUUUUUUGCGGGCGGGUGGGUGGGUGGGUUCCUGUUGUGUAGCGAACCGACGCACACACACAUACAGGGGGGGGGUGCAACUGCAUACUGCACAGCGGGCGCGCAUCUCGCGAGAGCAAAGUCAUCGUCAUGUAUCAUGCAGCUGGCGUCCGACGAGCGGCAGCGCUGGCUACUGCCAGAACGGUCCACCUCUCCUGCAGUCACCCCACUAACGUCUAUGGCGCCCACGUCGGGUUGCGUAGGAAGUCUCAGCGGGCUGGCGUAGCGGUGGCCCCUCUUCACGGUGACCUCGCACUGUGGGCACUGCACACCCCUACGCAGUUGUUCCACGCCUCAGCCGUCGCCUGGGUGAUGGCCGCGUCCCCGGGCAGCAGCAUCGCUGUCCCAAAGCGCCGGUGCAUCACCAGGGCGCAACGUGUGCGCCAGAAAGCCACCGACUCUGUCGCCGCCCCUGACACCGCCGCCGAAGCCGCCGCGUCUGCCCUGCCGGUUGCCCCUGUCCGUGACCCCAAAAAGAGGCGCGUGCGAGCCCCUCGCGCCUUCUCGACCUCCGCUGCAGCUACAGCCGCGGCAGCGGUUGAGCCGCCUCUACCUCCACCCGUGGCUCAGGCGCCACUGGAUCCUCCACACCAGUACGACGGCAACACCGCUGACGAGGCCGGUAAAAGCGACGCCCGCGACAAAGAGAGCGCCGUGGUGCAGGGCGACGAGGACCUCUGCGGAGAUUCUACCGGCUUGGCCGACGCAGAAGCAAGUGGGUACGCUGGCAGCGAUCAUCACGACGGAGCGGGGAUGGACGACGGCGAUAUCGCAGACGAUGCCGCGGCAGGUGCAAACUUGGGCGAAGCGGAACAGGUAGGCCGCGCAGCCGAGGUGCGCGAGGAGACAGACUACAGCGCGGUGGACGCCGAGGGAGUGCCACCCCCGGCCGACACCGCGGCUGCUAGCAGCGCUCCAGCGCACACAUCGGCACUGCCGUGCAUCGGCAACCUUCUCGACUUUGAGAGUCCGCUGAAUCUCCGGCUUGCCACGCUGACGCGGCAGCACGGUAAGGCGUUCCGCGCGAUCGCCGUGUACCUGCCAGAGACACGUGUCACCGUGAACUUCGACAUCACCUUCGAGGACAUCGCGAGCGGCGCGCGGCUUGUGUGCAAGCUGAAUGAGAUCAAGUCGCGCUAUGUGGAGUGGAUCAGCCUCUUUCGCGCGUCCUUCGUCGCCAUCUUUGUGCCAACGCUACAGUCGCCGAGCGCGGCCCUGCUGCAGAACGCCAUCGGCUCGUCGCGGCCUGCAAGACCGCCGCCGCCGGCAGGCAGCUACCACCCCCGGCUGAACGAGGAUCCUGACCAUCUCUUCUUUUCCUACGCCAAGCUGCGCGAGGUAAUCUCGCACAAGAAGAAGGAUAAGGAGCUGAACCCGCAGCUGCUCACCGUCGCGGUGCUGAACGCGUAUGCCGAGGAGUGGAAAAACUUCAUCGCGGCACCGCUUUCGUGCGCCCCGCAGUCGUUUCUGCUCGCCGCCUUCAACUUUCAAAGCCGCUCCGGCGACAUCAGCGCUGGCGCGAUGCUCAACAAGGAGCUCCUGCAGGCGCAGCUAGCGGCGGCUGCCGAUGCGAUUGUGCUGUAUUCCUCGACGAGCGGCAAUCAAGCCGCGCGGCGCCGAACCGGUGCGGUCGCCGCAUCUCUCGCAGCCACCUCGAGUGGGCUGCUGCGCAGCGACAAAGACCGGUGGGGCCUCAUCUUUGUGUCGGCGCCGGCGCGCACGGCAGCCGGCACGGCAGCCGUCCCCCCAAUGCAGGAUCUGCUCACCGGCCAGUUUGUGCAGCCGCUCUCCCUGUCAGAGCGGCACCUGAUCUACAUCAUCGGCACCGGCUCGGCCGCCGAGAACUUUGCCCGCUUCCCGCUCGCACGCAAGGGCAAGUGCGCCUUCUCGAUUCUUCUCCAGGAUGUGGAGUCUCAGCUGGGGCUGGAGCGGCCGCACCGGCUGAACCUGACCUCCAUGCUGACCCAGGCGCUGGAUAGCUUUUCGCGCAUCACGUGGAUGGGCCUAAUGAAGGAGGAGAACGGUGAACCGCACAUGCCGCACCCGAGCUCCGCCUUCUACCGACUGCAGCGUCGCAGCGUGCAGCGGGAGAUUAUGCCAAGCUUCCUUGAGCCCGUCUUUGCGCCCGGGCCGCGCUUGAUGGGAGGCGACGCCGGUGGCAGGCCCGUCGAUACCAUGUGCCGCCCCAUCCGCGGCGGUGCUCCAGACGGCGCUGUCGGCAGAGGUGGCGCCUCCGCGCGUGAUUUGCGUGCCACCGCACAGGCUAGUCGACUCCUGGAGGAGCACAUUCAAGUAAUCUACAAUAGCCAGGAGCGACUCAACCGAGAGAAGGCGCUGCAGGAGGCGAUGCGGAGCCGCGUCGCAUACUUUAUGCACGUCACAAGCGCAAGCGUCACGGCCGCCCGCCGCGCGGAUAACCCGUUCUCAGCGCGCAACGGCAUGGUGGACGUGUCGGGACAACUGUGGACGUCGCUCAACUUGAUGAACCCGCCGGCGGUGCGUCACUGGAGGGCCAAGAUCGAAGACAAGACGGGCGAGGUGAAGGAGUUUGUUGACCCGGAGGUGGUGCUGCCAGACACGUUGCCGAUCGGCCCACCUGACGCGCCGGAUCCGAAGGACAGGGCCGAGAACGCCAUCCUGAUCGGGUGGGACAUCAAGCGCAUCUUGCUGUUCCUGCGGCGCAGCGUGCGGUUGCGCACGUUCCUGUACAACGGUGGCAAAAUCUGGUGCGCUCAGUAUGCCCAGUACCUGUUGAAGGGUUUCAACAACCUACACCUGGCUACGAUGGAGCGAACGCUGCUGCAGUACCACGACGGGCCGCUGAAGGGCUCGAUGCAGCCCUUGGCAAAGCUGAAACUGAUCUACGAGACGCAGCUCGAGGUCGCUGUGAGCACGCGGCAGAUGUCCUCGGUGCAGCACCGCAUGGACGGCCUGUUGGCGUCGAUGGAGAUGGAGCUGCAAGGGCUGCAGCUGGUGCCGCAGUCGCAGGUGACGUACUUUGCCAAUACGCUGCGCCUCGAGCACGAACGACUAGAGAAGGUGCUGCAUCACAAGAUCAUGGACUUUACACAGUCCAUGGACGACGAUGUGCGGCAGCGUAUCAACUUCCGUUCACCACAGGAUAUCAGCACCAUCAUCUACGGCGGUGGUCUGUGUCGCCACCUCGGGUCGCGUUUUAUUCCUGUAAAGCCGACCAGGUACCCGGCAACGAGCCUCUUCCCGCAUGCCGUGUGCCAUGUCACUGGCACCAAGGCGCCAGAGGCGUACAUGCAGGCGGACGCCUUACUCGGCGGCAACGGCGGCACCGGCAGCGGUGGCCAAAGCAGCGGCAGCGCCAUCACUCUGAAUGAUGUGCGGCGCAGCCUGCAAAGAAUCCAGCAGCUCUGCAAGCGCUGCACGAUGGAUGCGCUGAUUCAGCAGACCGCUGUCGUGGUGGUGCUCUGCAAGGUGAAGAUCGGCGGCUGGAUGGAGCAGAUAUCGCUCUACUGCCCCGCCGUCACAGGCCCCGAGGCGCGUGAGAUCAACCUGCGUGUGGCCGUGGACGACAUUAUUCCCGUUGCGGAGAGGCCGGAUGUAGUGACGGUGACACAGCUGAAGGAGCGCAUCGCCGCCUACGAGCCACUCAAGCAGCUCCUCGCAGUGUCGUCCGCGGCAUCGACAGGGGAGGCGAAGGCACCCACAACACGGAAGUCCGGUGGCAAGAGGACGCGACAAGGAGGCAGAGCGGCCGGUGACGGUGACACCGCGGCAGACCUGCGCAACAUUCUCAUUCUAACAAACUGCGCGCACGACAAGCUGGAGUCGCUUGUGGACACUGGAGUACUCGAGGCCAUCAAGAAGGCCGUGUUCGACGGGCAAGUGGACGGCGUCGGCGCGGACGGAGAGCCGGCAUCGCUGGAGCGGGUGUGCUUCGCGGACGUCAGCAAGGCCUUCCCUCCGCCGCCGCAGGGCGCCGACUCUUUCGAGUCCGACUUCUCGGAGCUCAGCUCGUCCAACGCCACGACCUUCUCGGCCCGGUGCACAUGGGAAGCGCAUGCAAAGGAGCUCGUGUCGCUCGGUGGCGUCGAGGGAGCUGUGAAGAGUAUUGUGUCGCAGUGCGCCUCGGUCGUGGGCACGCCGCGGGACGCAUUCCGCAGUUCGCAGCCGACUCCGUCGAGCGCGCCGCAGGGCCUGCAUGGGCAGGAGCGGGCCUCGACGGCCGGCAUGCUGUGGAUGGUGACACCGGAGAAGCUGCACCCCCUGCUGCGGCGCUUCUUGCGCGGCAAGUCUGCGUCAUCCGGCGCCGACGCGAUGGAGCGGGUGACGAUGCUGCUGUCGCCGUACAAGACAAUCGACCUCUCCUUCUUCUCCGCGCUGCAGCAGCUGCGCUUUACCGAGAAGAAACUGCAGCUCUUCGAGGAGGGCUGCCUCUUCCGCGCCGUGCUGCCGGAGUGCCACGACCGCGUUCACGGCGAGCUAUGCCACUGCGUGACGGCCACGGGCCGCCUUUCUUCUCAGUCGCCGAAUUUGCAGAACAUUCCGAAGGAAGAGGAUCUGCGCCGCCUGAUCGUGUCACGAUUCGGUGCGCAGGGUAUGAUGAUCGAGGCAGACUACAGCCAGCUCGAGGUCGUAGUCCUGGCCGCGCUGUGCCGAGACCCGCGCAUGAUGCAGGAGCUGCGCGACAACGUCGACUUCCACUGCCUACGCGUCUCCCUUAUGACAAAGGAGCCCUACGAGGAUGUGGUGCGCAAGGCCAAGGUGGAGAAGGACCCGCAAUACAUCCAGCUACGGCAGCAGGCGAAGGUGUUCUCCUUCCAGCGCCAGUACGGCGCUGGCGUCUCGACCAUCUCCACCACCACGGGGCUCACGGAGCAGGAGGUGGAUCGCCUUAUUGUGGCCGAAGAGCACCACUACAAGGAGCUGUGCAAGUAUUACAGCCUCGUUACGAGGUGCGUGGAGGCAGGUGCGGAUCGGCUGCUGCGGCUGCGCACGCUGGACACGUCUCUCUGGAACGCCAACAUCCGCCGCGCCGUGAUGCUGACGGAGCCGAUAUACUACUUUGUUGUGCCCACCGGCAGCAAGUUUGACUUUACGAGGGACCGCAAGAGUGUGCCGCGUCUGAAGAACUACCCAGUGCAGGGACUUGCUGGUGAGAUUGUGCAGAUCAUGUGCGGCGCCAUCGUGCGCGAGUUCUACCGCAAGCGCAACUACGGCGAGAAGGCGUUUUUGGUGAACACUGUGCACGACUGCGUUUGGGUGGACGCGCACAAGUGUGUCGCCGACGAGGUUCGCGCUGAUCUCGCCCGCAUCAUGGGGCACACGCAGGAAGCUAUUGCGGCCCUCUGGCCGGACAUGAAGCUGGAUGUUCCCUUCAAGGCAGAGAUUCACUCGGGUCCGUCGCUGGGGGAGUUGUCGGUGUAGCGGCCGGCUCGCAGGUGAAGCAGCGAGGUUGUGUGUGCGUGCGUGUGUGCCCCUCCUCCUCCUCCUCCAACCUGAGCCUGUUUUUGUAUCGUCAUGUUGUGUGGAGCGAAAAGAGCAUACCUACAGCAAUGACGCAUCAUAGAGAGCGUAUCAUAGAUACUACCGCGUGAGUAGUGGUUGCUCAGCAAGUGCGUGUGCUGGUGCACGUGGGUGUUUUAUUGGGCACGGCAGUCGUUGCGUUUACGGACGUGCAUGCGCAUGUGUGCCUGUAUGCGUGUGUGUGUCUGCCUGCCUGCGUCUCUCACUCUCUUGAGUCUCUCUGUCAGUGGGGAAGAGUCGCUGCUGUGGCAACAACACGACCACCCCGGCCAUCUUUCUUGUCGUCUUCGGGAUGAGGGGGAGGGGAGGUUUCUGCCUUGUUGGCGCGGAUCGCUGUUUUUCGUUUUCGUUUUGCCUUUCGGCUUGUUCGCUUGACUUGCUGUGCCGCUUCCCACCAGGCCAUGUGGGCCCGUGACGAGCCGGAGGGGUGGUGGGGGUGGGGGGUCGUUUUGCUGGAGACGUGGACAUGUUGAAAACGCGAAGCAGGGCAGGCACGAAAAAAAAAACGAAACGGCGCUCGACGUCGCCUUUCGGCUGAGAGUGCGGUUCUCAUGUUCUCACCACUCUUUCUCUGUCUCCCUUCUACAGCCCUGCCGCCUCUAUUUGUUGCUGCGCCGCAGGCUUUCCUUGUGCGCACGCGUCUGCGUGUGCUUUCCUGGUGCGGUUCUUUUUCAGGGCCACUCGAACACCAACGUGUACCCUGCCCCCCCCCCACCCCACCCACCCACCCACCUCUAAUCCUCCUCCUCCCCCAUCUCUCAUACUCCACGCACCGUCUCAUCUUCAG
rnacentral:misc_RNA from 1 species